AAUAAUAGUAACUGACAGCUGCUUCGAGAUGUGCUGGGCUGAUUCAUGUCCAAGUUCAAGUUUUUGGCCAGACUGGGUUUGAACCCACCACCUCCGGUACAUGGGGCCGGCGCUCUACUCCUUGAGCCACAGGUGCUGCUAUAUUGCUUUUAACAACGUCCUACAAUGCCAAAUUUGUGUUCCUAAGGGCAGAGACAAGAUGGCUGACUGAAGUCAGCUUUCCACAGAGGCUCCCAUCCAGAAGGAGAGUUAAAGGAUAGAAAUUUAGCAAGUAACCUGGUGGAUUAGAGCUGUGCCAAGAGAGAAGGUUGAAGAAUGCACAUCAACCCUGCUGAGGCGAGCUGAGACCCUAAGGAUACAAACAAAAGGUACAAAAUCCAUCACCAAGUGGACAGGAGUCCCCUCCACCAUGAGAACAGCUCGGAAUACCCCAUAAACAAACAAGCAGAGUUCAAAAGU